CUAUGUUAGAAUUUUUUAAGACUUCUUAAAAUUUGUAAAUCUAUUUCAUUUCCAAGGAUAAAAUAAAUGAUCUGUGCAUCUGUAUCUUAUUCCCUUGGGUGUUCAUUCAGAAAAUAAUGGAUUCCACAGAAGUGGGAGAGGAUGGAUCUGCACAGGUAACAUAUUCUGAGGUCUCCAAUUAGAGAUGGAGAGACUGUACGGCCCUUAACUGCCCUUUAUUCCAAUACACCGAGUCUGGCCUCUUCCUGCUAAUCGAACAGUUGGACUCAGAUGGAUUUUUCGAAUGCUGCUUUUACUAACUAGUCUUGAGUGUGUGAAAAAUUCAUCUCAAGAAAUGGCUGGACCAAUGUGAUCACUUGACGAAGAACAGCCAUUUUCUUCGGCAGAUUGAAGAAAAGUGGUGAACGGAAAUGCAAGAGAUCAGCGGGAAUAUAAAUGCAGUAGGAGAAGAAAAGAGGAAGACGAGAGAAUUAAGACAGAUAAAUGAGGUUUAGGAGACCUACAUGGCCAACCAAAACGGGUUCCUCAACUAACAUUAUUAGUCCUAACCAGAACAAUGUAGCUAAUUAAAGUGCAAGUGAUUUAAAUCUAGUUAACUUUACUUAAAACAGAAAACUUAGGGCAUGUCUACACUUACCUCCAGAGCGAUCGAUCCAGCAGGGGUCGAAUUUAUCGCAUCUAGUGAAGAUGCGAUAAAUUGACCGCCGCGCGCUCUACCGUCAACUCCGGUACUCCACCGGAGCGAGACGCAUAGGAGAGUUGAUGGGGGAGUAUCAAUAGUCGACCUGCCGCAGCGAAGACGCCACGGUAAGUAACUAAGUAUGUCGACUUCAAGUAUGCUAUUUUCGUAGCUGAAGUUCCGUAACUUAAACCAAUUUAGCUCGCCCUCCCCUGCCCCCUGGGGUAGACUAGGCCUUAAUUUGACAGGUCAAUUCAUGACAGUGAAGUGAUAACAUAAGGUUGAAAGAAAACUGGGUAAUCUCAGAUACACUGAUAUACACUG